rnacentral:tRNA from 1 species
AGAAGUAUGGUUUAGUUGUACAGAGCCUGCUUGGCAAGCAUGAAGCCCCGAGUUCAAACCUCAGUACUGCUU